ACAAAGCGUCGAAACAAAACUUUUUUCUCACAACAAAUGGACGAAAAACGAAAAAAACAAAAUAGGCAGGAAAAAUAAAGUUUUGCCAUGACUUCAUUUAGAAUAAGUAAAAAUGACUUUAUGCGGUUAAUACGAAAAAUGAAAAUCAAUAACGGAGAGAAUAAACGGAGAGAGAGAGAGAAAGAGAGAGUGCCAUGGGGCAAAAAAAAGUUGCCAUCAGGCAAACAGUUAAACAGUUGAACACUUUCCCAUGGGCUGCCAACCCUCAGCUAUAGAACAGCUUUACUAUAUGUGCCAUGAAAUAUUCAAUACACUGCGGAAACACGGAAACGGAAACAACACACGAAACGCAACUGACAACUGGCAACUGACGGCAGCAUAUAUACUAUACUAUAAGUUAGUAGCAACAGCAAAUACUAAAUGAAACCGCAACAAAACUCCGCAAUAUGGCAACCACUGAAGCAGCUCUAGCGGAUCACAUUGGAGUUCCACACGCACUGCCAGCAAAGCAAAAAAAAAUGACAUAAAGGCAAACCGCAAAGAGGCAGAAAAUGCAAUGAAAUAUGUAUAAUGAAAAAUCGAAUCGUGCGUUGGAAAAACAAUUUACACACACUCAAAAAACAGAACAGCAAAUGGCAUAAAUAUUAUGUACAGACAGACGGACGGAGAGUGUUUUAUAUUCGUACUACAAAAGUCAGAGGGAGCUCGUAUUUAUUAAGCCUACAAAUGGUGAGGGAAUAAACUAAACUGCGCUUAAUUGAAUUUAUUUUUGGCUUCCGUUCGAAUUCCCGGAGGGUUUGCAAAGAAGGGAGCCAAAGCUAAAGCUGCCUCUGUGUGUCCGCCAGCAUAAACCAAACAACAAAAUCCGGAAAGUUUCACAACUGCAUUCACAUAAGUACCACGGGGAGUAUGCAAUAACUAUCGUAUACUAUAUAUAAACUGACUUCUUUAAUUAACAGCACAACAAAAAACGGUGGAGAAAUUACAACAACUAAAAAGUAGAUAAUCAUCUGAAUGCACACUAUAUAUCAGUAGCUGUUCUUUUCUGAUCUGAUAAAAAUGAUGAC